CUUUUAGGGCCGCCCCAGCAGCAUGUACAAGCUACGGGUCAAACUGGAGCUAUAGCCAUCAGCCUAUGCCAUAGCCACAGCAAUGAGGGAUCUGAGCCAUGUCUGCAACCUAUACCACAGCUCACAGCAACACCAUACCCUUAAUCCACUGAGCAAGGCCAGGGAUCAAACUCACAUCCUCAUGGAUGUCAGUUUUGUUAACCACUGAGCCACAAUGGGAACUUCUGCUUAUCCAUUCUUAGUAGUUUGCAUCUACUAACCCCAAACUCCCAGUACAUCCACUCUCUCCCCCCUCCCCCUUGGCAGCCACACAAGUCUGUUCUCUACGUUCGUGAGUCUGUUGUUUUGUAGAUAGGUUCAUUUGUGCUAUAUUUUAGAUUCCACAUGUAAGUGAUACCACAUGAUCCAGCAGUCCUACUCCUAGGUAUAUGUCCAAACAAAACUAUAGUUCAAAAAGAUACAUGCACCCGUAUGUUCAGAGUAGCACUAUUCAUAAUAGCCAAGACAUGGAAACAACCUCAGUGUCCAUCAACAGAUAAAUGGAUGCAGAAGAUGUGACACAUACAUAAAAUGGAAUAUUAUAAAGCCACAAAAAGAAUGAAAUAAUGGCAUCUGCAGCAACAUGGAUGCAACUAGAGAUUUUCAUACUAAGUGAAAUAAGUCAGGAGAAAGACAAAAAUUUUUUUAUGAGGGAAAGAAUAUAGAUAUUUUCCCAAAGAUAUACAAAUGGCAGACAUAUGAAAAGUUGUUCAACAUGACUUAUUACUAGGAAAAGUCAAGUCAAAACUACAAUGAAAUAUUAGCUCACAUCUGUUAGAAUGGCGAUCAUUAAAAAAAAAGCUAUAACAGGUGCUAGAUGAGGAUGUGGAGAAAAAAGAACCCUUGUGCACUGUUGGUGGGAUUGUAAACUGGUACAACCACUGUGGAAAGCCUUAUGGAUGUUCCUCCAAAAAUUAAAAGUAGAACUACCAUAUGUUCUAGCAGUUUCACUUCUGGGAAUUGUCCAAAGGGGGGAAAACACUAUGUUGAUGAGAUAUCUGCACCCGCAUGUUCACUAGCAUUAUUUACAGUAGCUAAAGACAUUGAAACAGCCUAAGUGACCAUCAGUGGGUGGAUAGAUAAGGAGGUUGUGGUGUGUAGGCAAAUGCACAGGAAUAUUAUUCAGCCAUGUAAAAGGAAAUCCUGCCAUUUGCAACAGCAUAAAUGGACUUUGAGGGCAUUAUGCCAAGUGAAAUAAGAGGACAGAGAAAGAAAAAUAAUGUAAAUCUCACUUACAUGUGGAAUCUAAAAAACAAAAACCCAAGCUCAGAAAAAGACUUGUGGUUACCAAAAGUGGAGUGUAGGGAGAGGGGUCAAUUGGAUAAAAUUGAUUAAAAUGUACAAAUGUCAAAUUAUAAAUAUAUACUGGGGAUGUAAUAUACAGCAUGAUAACCAGAAUCACUAUUAAUACUGCCAUAUAGCUUAUAUAAAAGUUAAGAUAUAAUUGACAUACAAGUGAAAAGAUAACCUGUAGAAUGCAAGAAAAUAUCUGCAAUCAUAUUUCUAAAAAGGAUCAUAUAUACACAGCAUAUAUAAAGAACUGCCCCAACUCAUCAAGACAAGAAACCCAAUUGAAAAGUGGACAAAGAGUUUGAACAGACAUUUCUCCAAAGAUAUAAAUGGCCAAAAAGCACAAGAUGCUCAGUGUCAUUAGCAGUUAGGGAAAUGCAAAUGAAAGCCAUAAUGAGAAACAAUUUCACAUCCACUAGCACAUCUGUAAAAAAUAAGAAAAAAAAAGUACUAAGUAUUGCAGGGAAUGUGGAAAAAUGGGAUUCCUUGUGUACUGCUGAUGAGAAUGUAAACUGAAUGGUGCAGCUGCUGCUAAAAACAGUCUGGCAGUUCCUAAGUAAAUUUUAAAUCCAUGCCUAGGUGUGUACCCAAAAGAACUGAAAACCAGGUACUCAAAUGUAGAGGAAUGUUUAUAGCAGCACUAAUCACAAUAACCAAAAUGUAGAAAACUACCCAAGUCCACAGAUGGGUAAGUGGAUAAAUAAAAUGGUAUGUACAUUUAAUGGAAUAUUACUCAUCCAUAAAAAGGAAUAAGCUACUGAUACAUGCUCCAGUGUGAUGAACCUCAAAAACAUGCCAAGGUGAAAGAAGCCAGACACAAAAAUUACAUAAUGUUGCAGUCCAUUUAUACGAAGUAUUCAAAAUAGAUAAACUCAUAGGCAAAAAGUAAAUUAUUUUCUAGGGGCAACAGGGAAGAGGGUAUAGGGACUGUCUGAUUAAAGAGGACAAAAUCUUCUUUUGGCUUUUUUGGGGGUGGGGGCCUCACCCACAGCUUCAAAGUUCCUGAGCUAGGGUUCAAACCCAUGCCACAGCAGUAACCCAAGCUGCUGCAGUGACAACGCCCAAUCCUUAACCCACUGCACCGCAAGAGAACUCUGAUUCUUUCUUGACUUUAGUCAUCUGUAUAAUCUGCACUCCCUUCUCCUUUUUUGGCACAAAUGAUGUUUUUUUAAAUAUUAUUUAUGGUGCUUUAUGAAUUUAACUUCAAGCCCAGCCAACUAGCUUUCCCAAACUCCUUUUAUAUAGAAAUUCAAUUCCACCACUACAUUAUUCUUUUAAUAGCUACAAUCAUAAUACCUCUGCUUAAAAAACAAUAGCUUUUUCAGACUCACAUAGAGAACAAAUUUGUGGUUGUUACAGGGGGAGGAGGUUGGGGAGGGAUGGAGUGAAAAGUUCGGGUUAGCAGUUGGAAGCUAACUUACAUGAAGGGGAUGAUCAAUAAGGUGCUAUUGUACAUACAGAGAGCUAUAUUCAAUGUGCUGUGAUAAACCACAAUGGGAAAGAAUGUGACUUUAAAAGGAAUGUGUGCGUGUAUCUGAACCACUUUGCUGUACUGCAGAAACACAACAUUGUAAAUUAACUAUACUUCAAUCUAAAAAAAUUAAAAACAAAAAACCAGUAGCUUUUCUUUACCUUUAAAAUGAGGUCUAAGAUUUCCCCGUUGUGGUGCAGCGGAAACAAAUCCAACCAGUAUCCAUGAGGAUGUGGGUUCGAUCCCUGGCCUUGUUCAGUGGGUCUGGGAUCCAGCGUUGUCGUCAGCUGUGGUGUAGUUCGCAAAUGUGGCUCGGAUCCCACAUUGCUGUGGCUGUGGUGUAGGCUGGCAGCUACAGAUUUGACCCCUAGCGUAGGAGCUUCCAUAUGCCAGGGGUGCGGCCCUAAAAAGCAAAAAAAAAAAAAAAAAAAAAAAAAAAAUUUUUAAUUAAAAAAUAGGUCUGAAUAGCAAAGUCCAUUAACUAGUCCUCUUAAACCUGGUUCCCGUCUUACCUUUCCAACUUUGUUUCCCAUUAUUUACUUUCAUUGACCCAUUCACUUUUUCCAACAAGUACUUCAUACAUUUGUUUUUCUUUAUAUUUUUCCCUCUGCCUAGAAAAUACUUCCCAAUACAUUGUCCAACUCUGUAUAUACUCAAAUCCUAUUUGAUCAAUACCCAACUGAUUACUAAUUUAGUUAAAAUUCUUUUUAAAAAUUCCCAUAGCACUUUAUCUGAACCUCCCUUACAGCAACUUUUUUUUUUCUAGCUUUGCCUGAGGCAUGCAGAAGGUUCCUGGGCCAUGGACUGAACCCAAGCCACAGCAGUAACCUAAGCCAUAACAAUGAUAAUGCCAAGUCCUUAACCACUAGGCCACCAGGGAACUCCCCUACUUUUGAUGAAAAUCUAUCUCAGGCCCUCAGUAUCCUCCUCUAUCUUAUUCUUUUGCACCUCCUGUGCCUUUGCACAUACCCAACCUAUCACCAAUCUCCAUACCUGCCCAAACGCUUUUUCACCUUUGACAUCUGUCAAAUAAUACCCCAAUUAUUCCAAAUUAUGCUGUUCAGUGAAUUCCUUUAGCAAUCACAAUAGCUUCAAAAUGGAUAAAUUUCCUCAAGACACAGUGAAUUCUGGCGGAAACAUGUAAUCAUCUGAAAUAAUGUAGAGACUACAUAUACCCAAUUAGGACAGAGAAGAAUCUUUAGUUUCCUUGUAACUUUGAAACCAAGAUUAUGAUUUCUAUUUUCCUUUUUAAAAAAAGGAGGUAUUUACCUACUGAUAUGAUAAAGGUAAGAUCAUCAAGGCAUAUGAGUGAAAAAGAACAUUCAUAUUAUGUAUGCACAUGUACGUAUACGCAACCACACACAUUAAAAACAUAACAAAGUUAAUGGUAAUUAGCCCUGGGGGACAUUGAAAGUAGAGUGGGGAGAAAUUAAGGAGGACUUAAAACAUUUUUCUUCAUGUACUGUGGAUCUGUUACAAGUAUAUACUCAAGUUUCACCCCUUUUUUUUUUAAGGCUGCGCCUGAGGCAUAUAAAAGCUCCCAGGUCAGGGACUGAACCUGCAUUAGAGCAGCAACUCAACCAUUGCAGGACAAUGCUGGAUCCUUAACCCACUGUGCCACAAAGGAACUCCACAAGUUUUAUACUACCUUGAAAAAACAAAAUUAAAAACACUGAGUGAACACAAGGCUGUGACUCAGUUUAUCCAGGUCACACAUGAGACAAGAUACUUGCUACUUGGAGAUGAGAACAAUGACACUGUGAACAAAAAAAAAACCACAGAGGUUCUUACGUUCAGUCCAUUAGACCUCACUAUAACCUUUUGAGGGAUAAGGAAGGCAGAAAUUGACUCAAAGAAAAGCCGAGGAUCAAAGAGUUACAAAGGGCUUGCCAAAAGCCUUUCAUUAAAUGGGAGAACUGAGCUUAGAGGCAAGGCCUAUGGAUUUGAAAUUCUGAGCCCUUUUCACAAUACCACAAUACACAGUCCCUUAUAAUCACAAGAUAAUUAACCACUACCUUUUAUCUCCAGAGCUGCUAAGGAUUAAAAGCGCCAAGGAUUCACUGGUUAAAACCUGUCUGGAAACCAUUAUAUCAGCAAUAUAACAGGACCUGGCAUAAUCAUCAAUUAUUAUCAUGGUCUUUCUGUUUCUGCUAAGUUAAUCUAUCCCCUAACAGACCAUCCAGGCAGUACAAUCUGUUGUGGGUUUGUGGAUCCCAAUAAACAACACCUCUUUUACCUGAGUUCAGAACCAAUAAAGGAUGAAAGAAAUGAUCACACAGAGAUUAAAAUGACACCCUUACUACUGAUAAAGGAUUUGAGGACAACACUUAGGUGUAGAGUUUCCAAUACUGAAUUCUAAAAUGAAGCUUUACUACUCAGUCACCGAAAAUACUGAAAAGCAAAACCAGGCCCCUGUGAUGCCAAAAUCACAGAAGACCAGAAAUACAUUCUGCAGGAAGUCUGGCUGUCUCCCAAGAGAAAAAAAGAGGAAAGAGGAGACUGAGGCAUACUCAAGUGCCUCAGUGAGGAGAUGGGCUGCUAGACAUACCCAAGUUCCUCUCUCCCGCAAAAGCACCACAAAGGAAGGAGCAGGAGCAAAGAGAGCUCCUAUACCAGAGGAAAUCUCAAGAGGGGACUACAUGAUCUCCCUAAGUUCUUUCUUAGAUUUCAGUUUGUAGAGAGUAAGACUUCAUGGUUACCAUACACUAGAGGCCCAUGGAUCUCUUUAGGGCUCCUGAGAUCCUUUGGGGGCUCUGGAAAUUAAAAAAUUAAUACUAAGAUGUGAUUUGCCAUUUCCACUGAUGGUACAAUUUGGGUUCAACUGUUGACCUUAGCAUGAUCGAGGUAGCAGCUGCUAUGUCCAUUACUGCCACAUACUCAGUAAAAAUGCCACCGGCAUGUAAGAAUACUUACGAUGAAGCAGGAAAAUCAUUUUUGUUAAUCUGACUCUUCUGUAAACAGCAUUUUAAUACUGAAAAAAAUAGGAAAACAAAGUACUUAUACUACAUAGAAAGUAUAAUACAUGCCUCAAGGAAAAGCACUGGUGUGGUUGAAGGGCAAGCUGAACUUUUUUCAUGGAAUAGCACUGUUACUUAAAAAAAUGACUGAAAAACAAAACUGACAGAUGUGUAUCUGGCAGUCAUUUUCCUGAAGUGAGGCUGAGAACACAAUUUAUAGUGCUUAUAGCUAAAUGUUAAAAAUAAAGCUUGGAGUUCCCAUUGUGGUACAGUGGAAAUGAAUCCAACUAGAAACCAAGAGGUUGUGGGUUCGAUCCCUAGCCUCGCUCAGUGGGUUAAGGAUCCAGCAUCGCCGUGAGCUAUGGGAUAGGUCGCAGACACGACUCGGAUCCCACAUUGCAGCUACAGCUCCGAUUAGACUCCUAGCUCCCAUUAACCUCCAUAUGCCGUGAGUGAGAUCUACAUAACUCAAUAAACAAAUAUUUUCCAAAUGACCAGUGCAUGAUGGUACAAGAUUACAUGAGGGUAAAAGAU
rnacentral:lncRNA from 1 species